rnacentral:rRNA from 1 species
UACGGAGGGGGCUAGCGUUGUUCGGAAUUACUGGGCGUAAAGCGCGCGUAGGCGGCUUUGUAAGUUAGAGGUGAAAGCCCGGGGCUUAACCCCGGAAUUGCCUUUAAGACUGCAUCGCUUGAAUCAUGGAGAGGUGAGUGGAAUUCCGAGUGUAGAGGUGAAAUUCGUAGAUAUUCGGAAGAACACCAGUGGCGAAGGCGGCUCACUGGCCCGGUACUGACGCUGAGGUGCGAAAGCGUGGGGAGCAAACAGG